rnacentral:rRNA from 1 species
GACGUCAAGUCCUCAUGGCCCUUAUAGGUGGGGCUACACACGUCAUACAAUGGCUGGUACAGAGGGUUGCCAACCCGCGAGGGGGAGCCAAUCCCAUAAAACCAGUCGUAGUCCGGAUCGCAGUCUGCAACUCGACUGCGUGAAGUCGGAAUCGCUAGUAAUCGCGGAUCAGAAUGUCGCGGUGAAUACGUUCCCGGGUCUUGUACACACCGCCCGUCACACCAUGGGAGUUGGUUUUACCC